rnacentral:rRNA from 1 species
AUUGAACGCUGGCGGCAUGCUUUACACAUGCGAGUCGAACGGCAGCGCGGGCUUCGGCCUGGCGGCGAGUGGCGAACGGGUGAGUAAUGCAUCGGAACGUGCCCAGUAGUGGGGGAUAGCCCAGCGAAAGCCGGAUUAAUACCGCAUACGACCUGAGGGUGAAAGCGGGGGACCGAAAGGCCUCGCGCUAUUGGAGCGGCCGAUGUCGGAUUAGCUAGUUGGUGGGGUAAAGGCUUACCAAGGCGACGAUCCGUAGCUGGUCUGAGAGGACGACCAGCCACACUGGGACUGUGACACGGCCCAGACUCCUACGGGAGGCAGCAGUGGGGAAUUUUGGACAAUGGGGGCAACCCUGAUCCAGCCAUGCCGCGUGCGGGAAGAAGGCCUUCGGGUUGUAAACCGCUUUUGUUCGGGAAGAAAUCCUCUGGGCUAAUACCCCGGGGGGAUGACGGUACCGGAAGAAUAAGCACCGGCUAACUACGUG